AAAAAAAGUUAUAGAAGCUUUUGUGGGUUAGAUAAACAUAGUGAAACUUCAACGGACUUUCUGUUCUUUAUUUUUAUUUUGCAUUUUGACUAACAAACCUAGCUAAAGCUCUUUCUACUUCACUGAUGCAUGCAAGAAUAGCGUAACUGUGAGCACAUGUAGUUUGAGCAGACUCUGCAGUAAAAAUCCCUACUGAUGCUUUAUACCAUUCAGGCCUUUGCCAAUGCUGCUAAGUCACCCAAAAGCCUGGAUUAAAAAUAUCUUGCACAGUCAGAGAUGGUUAAUCUAUGCUUGGUUUAUAUGUCUGGAGAAGCAAAAAGUUUUUUUUCUAUGAUUGGUUAGGCCUUUGACAUUGUAUCGUAGGUAUGGCCACGCUUUAAUCCUUUCAACAUGCAGAAAACGAGGAGGAUUUGCUCUGUAUUUCGUUCAGGAAGAGCAUCUUCUGUAUCUCAAGCUUUCAGGACCAUGAUAUUGAGGACCCAGGCUCCCCAGAACAAGAGUACACAACAGGAACAAAAGCAGAGUGAGAGUCUCGGUUUUUCACCCUGGUGGCCUAAAGCUGUCCUCAAAUCCAAAAAUGUGUGUUUGGUGCCGUGUAUAUCUUAACAUAGCUAGGUGGAAAUCAGCAUCAGUGGAGCUGGAGUAGCACAAAUAUCAGCACACCCUGUGUAAAGUCACUAGGUAUGCUUCAAUUCAUGAAUGUCCAUACUGUGCUUUCAUCACUCUUACUGCUAGAAUAGAACUUAAGUGUGUUGACACACACAGUGGUCAUGUUCUGCUUGCAGUGUAGACAUGGCCCUGGACCUUUCUCUACACGGAAGCACCAAGCCUUCAGAAGAUGUAUUAUAAUUGCUUACUUUUGAAAAUGGGACAAAGCUUAAAAUAAUGUGUGUUAAAGGUGGAAAUUCCCAUGUAAGAUUUCUGGAUGAUUCUUGUUCAGAGUGAUUAUUCCACAUGAUGCUAUUAUACGUGAGCAUAUGACUCAAUGAGCUACAACUAGGCUUCACUUUCCUCGUUGAGCUAUUAUGAAACUUGUGCUGGUUGCACAACAGAAACACUAAUGCUGAUGCAGCUGUAUGGCUAUAAAGAUAGUUUUAUACCAGUUCGGUUUUCUUUCAGUAAGAAAAAAUGGAACAAGCUAUGCUAUAAUAAGCCAUGAUAUCCGUGUAACUUUUUGCAACAGAUGGGCUGAGGAGUCUGUGAGUGCUUAAGGAAGAUUUUAAGAGGGACUCUCAACUUCUGACCAUGAUGGUUUCCCUUUUCUGUGGGUGUCUACUAAUAAGCUAUAUAAUUAAAUCAGGAUGUGCAUAUUCUGAAAUAUUUUGUUACAGAAUUGCAGGUUUACACCCGUGUAGCCAAGAAUAGCAUACACAGUGAUAUAUUUUGUUUUCUUACUUUUACCUCUCAGUCAUUUUGGUAUACAGACUACUUAUAUCCAGAACAAGCCAAUAUGCCUAUGGCCAUGCAUUAGAUCUGCAUUGUGUUACCAUACGUUACCACACAUUAUCUACUAUUGUUAGGUUACACAUCACCAUACUCUUGGCCUUACCUGUCACAUGAGCAGGAUUCCACCAUGCUAGGUACUGUAUCAGCACAAAGGAGAAAUCUGAUUCCUUUUCCUGAGGUUCUCAUCUUAAUAUAAAUCAAUAUAUAACAGGUGUCUAUAGAUAAUAUGUGGGAGAGUAAAGAGAAGACAAGCACUGUUUUACAUUCCAGGUGUCAGGUCUGGUAAAGGUGGAGGAGGUAGGUGUAGGGAUAGGAAAGUAUGGAAGUGCUUGUUGAAAAGUCUGAUUGUUGGGUAAUAAUGAAAGGCUUCACUGGCAGCAGCAGGAAUCGAUACCUCUGUGCCAAGUGAGAAAUGAUAGAUAGGGUGAAGAUAAGUGAUGGAAAGCUUUGAAGCCAAAGAUAAGAUAAAGAAGCUUAUGUUUGAUGCAAGAGUGUGUGGAGAGAGCUGGUGUAGACAGCAGCGAGGGGAUAGUGAUGGGCUGGGAAAGCAAUCUCUGCUGAAGUGUUCUGUUCUGAGUGGGGGAGAGCAAGUUUCUCUUGACUAGGACUUGAGCAAACUUUGUCAGAGUAACUUGAUAUGUCAGGUUUCAGAAGCCCAAGAAAGGAAGAACUGUUCAGACACUGUAUAAAAAGUACCUGCAGGAUGUCCUGUCUACUCUGUCUUGCAAAAUACUCUAGAAUAGGUUUAAAGUGUGUUUUCUACUAUCUACUGCACUUGUAGUGCCUCUGUUUGGGAAUAACAGUCCAAUUUGUGUUCAGCUUAACUCCUAAGUGAAGCAUCAGAAAAGCAUCCUGUGAAGCUGGGGAACACCAGGAGCAGCUGUCAGGAGAAGCUCUGUCUAAGCAAGAUCUUCAGCGUAAUCCAGAUAUGCAGACCUAAAAAGUGCAUGUCCAAGGUAACAGCUAGCAAUACAAGGUUGACCUGUGUUGUCUCUAGGAUGAAAAGCAACAGUGGUGGUGAAAUCUGAUGGGAAAUAAAACGUUACUUCUACAUUGUCGUGCUUGAGCUGAAAGGUGGAUUUUCUUGGUGAACCAUCCUAAAGACAGAUUAAGAAUUCACCGAGCGCUGAAAGUGGAAGUCUGGAAAUAGUUGUACCUCUGUGCAUCAUCAGUUCAGCUACAGCUGAAACCAUUUGCUAAAAUAAUUCAGUGGUAAGCUGCAGAGGAAGAAGAAAAGCUGCUCAGAGUAUCAUAGAUAACAGGACCAUAGAAUAUUAGAGGGAAUGCUAAGGAGGGCAUGAGUAAAGCAGGAGAAAUCAAGUCUAGAUAGUCAUAAUUUUUUUUUCUUUUUGCAUGCCUGAGGAGUCAGCUACUGCAUUAAUGCUGUUGUGGUGUUGUCAGGUUCCAUUUGUGAUGCUGGAUGCUGGAUGAUUAAUGCUGUUACAACGAUUCUGUAAUGCAGAAUAUAUUCAAUCAAUGGUUAUAUUAGCAUUCUCACCGUGGCAAACAAUUGAAUUAAUAUUGUGUGCAACAGUAACGAGACACGAAAGUUAUAUGGUGAUUAAUCACUCACUGCCAAUGCUGCCACUCGGUGCAGUGUUUAUUUUUUCUUUCUGUGAAAGAUAUCAGCAGUAACAAAGGUGGAUUUGAUAAUGUAAUUUUUUUUCUACCUUCCUCAACUAAGUAUUUUUGGGGAUAGGGUUGUUCAGCAAGCAAGCUAUGGCCAAUGGGGAACUUCUGAUAUGGAUUACAUUACAAGCAUCUUGCAGCUCCUCUAAGCUUUCCAUUGCCAAAACUUAAAAUGGCCGGAUAAGAGUGGUAGGAGCAAGGGAAAUUGUUGUGAGAGCAGAAUAGUAAGGCUAUUCAGGGCGAUGGCAGGGGAUGCCUUAUGUCCUUGGUGUCUCUGGAGAACCAAAGGCUGUGUGGCUCCCUUGGAUGUUUGUAAUGACUGAGUGCUACUCACUGAUACGGCAACACGAGGAUUUUUAGUUAGCUGUUCCCUAUUUCCCAUUUGUCCCAAAGUUUAAACAAUUUUGUGAGGCUGUCUUGUGGAACUUUUAUCCCAGCUCUUUUUUGUUGGAAGCGAGUCUACCUGCUUCUGACAUGGCUGAGACAUGAGGUAUCUCAAGAAAGAUAAUUGCCUGUGAUCCUCUCUUUCCUGAGCUGUUCUUUUUCCCCUAUGAUUUUACUGCUUAGGCAUCCUGCCUGCUGCUGUAAUAAAUGGGGAUUUCUGCCCUUUAGAAUGGAACGGUGUAGCAUCUUUUAGUCACCUUAUGAUUCCGUUAAGUAUUAAACUGUCAAAGAGCUGAAUAAACUACUGGUGAAAUCUAAGCUAUAAAUAUGGCUCAAUUAGCUAUUCUGUUUGGCUGUUUUGUGCAAAGCAGGUGUAAAACUGCUGCAUCUUUGUCAAGGUAUCAGUUAUACUCUGCUUGAACCAAGUGCUGGUAGAGAGGCCAGUACUGAAUACAGCAUAACUGUACCAUUGUGACUGACAGGUAUGGGUGAGUUCCAGAAACAACACUGGCCUAGAAAUACAGGAUCAUAUUUGGAGAUCUGCUUGGUGUGUCAGAGCCAUUAGAUUGUGAUUUGCUUAAGGAACCCCUCAUCUUGGAUGAUCCUUUGUUCACACGCCUUGACUUUGCAAGAUCUGCUACAUCAGACAGACUGGUCAUAGCCAUGGGACAUCUGGCUGUUGCUCUCAGAAUACAGAGAGUUGUGCAAUGGUUUCAUUUUUUUAAAGCUGGAUCUCCUCUGCCUCUGUAAACCUUACAGUGAAUACUUCUAAACAAGUGGUGAUCACAGAAAUGCCAGACAUGUCAAGCAGCAGAAGGAAUUGGCUUUGGGAAGGCAGUUAUUGAUUUGUAAAAAUUAAAAAAAAAUCACAACAAGCAACAGUUAGUGAAAUAAAGCUUCACUGCACACUGGCUGUCCUUGUGUAUUUAUUAUAUAGUAGUUGUUAGCUAUUUCCCAUAUAAUUAUGUUACUGGCCUACCAUUAUUAAUACAGAGUUUAAAGGUACUGGUAACAAACUGGUCAAAUUAUUAAUGGAGGAUUCAUUGUAGGAGGGAAUUUGUCAAAAGUUUGGGUUGUGUAUUUUUUUUUCCCCUGUACAUUUCUAUGUGUAGACUUUACAUCAUUUUUUUUCCACAGAGGCUAUUUGACUCAUAUGUCAGGAGACCUGAAGUCAUGGGAAGAAAAGCCCAACCAACCAAAUCAAUUAAAAUGCUAUUUAUCCCCCAGGACCCAGUUUUUCUUAGAUGGGUGAAUCUUCCUCUAAAUUUCAGCAUCUGUUGCUCAGCCCUUGCUCACAGCUCGGUGGUGACUUGCUGUUGGUCAGACUUUUGCGAAACUGUGACAUAAAUUGUGGCAGACUACAGCAGUGACCACAGCAUGUCCUGACGUUCUCUGAGUCAUGUUAGAUUCAGGAAACAACAGUAUAAAUAGAACUCUCCAAAUAGUAGCUUUACAUCAUCAUCAUGUGUUUCCAGUCGGGGGAUAAAUACUUCCUCGUUCCAGUGGUUAUAUCACUUUUCCAGACCCUUUCUAAAACUAAAUAUAGUCAUAGAAAGUGUCCCUGCACAUGUAAACUAAAGCAGUUGAGUCAUUUAAGACCUUGGGGAGUCGUUGAGAAUAUGCUGUAUCAUCCAUUGCUAACAGACACAAGGGGGAACCAUUAGUAGUAAGAAGGAUGUAUGUGGUCUUCUAGCUGAAGUGUGGGCUUGGAAGUCAGUAAUUCUGUUGCAUAUGUGCUAGCCUUGUGGAGAUGACUCUGUCCAUUUGUCUGUUGAUACUAAAGUGACAAGGCACAGCCCAUGACCAAGACAUCUGGCUACCUUCUGUGUAGAGGAGACUGUGGAAUCCCUCAACAGCUAUGUGACACCCCUGGUCACUUGCAUUUCUGCAAGCCACACUCCGCUUGCCAGUGGAGUUCCAUUUCAACGGAAUAGUAAGGAAGCAGAGGGAUCUCUUGCACCUGAUUUUGAUUGCUACUGAACACAUGCCCUCACUGUUACACUCAGAACACCUGAAAUAGCAGCGUUGUUGGGUCAUGUAGUAGGCUGUCAAAUUCAGAAUCAUCCAGAAUCAGUGGCUGCUCUUGAAAGUGUUGAUUGUAACCAUUCAUUUAGAAAAGGCAGCGAGUUGGAACAAGAGACGUUGCAGAUAGAAUAAAAUGCAGUCAAGUGUUUAAGCCCUGUACAAAGGUCAAUAGUAUCUGUGAGAUUGAAAGAACUAUUGGAGGGGCCAUCUCAAUAAGCAACUGCCCUAACACCUCAUAGUGUUGCAGGGAUAGCUGCUCAUUCCCCUACCUUAAUGAUACUAUAAUUACUAGCCAUUGCAGAAUCUUGCUAGCUGUUCUUACAGUGCAGUCCAGGCUCAGAAAGCAAAUAAUAAGCACUGCACACAGGCAGCAUUUCAAAAUGAGGGGAUGGUUCCCUUCCAAUCUUUGGACAUGGAAAUAUAGGAAGAAAAUCACUGCUUAGGCCUGUAAUUUGCUAGAUGGCCAUGGGAGCUGGUAGUUGCACCACUGUAACCAGGAGUGAUCAGCCUUGCUCCGUGCUGGGCUUUCUGAAGUCCCUUUACCUGAGACUCUAUACCAGAUAAUUGUUCUCUUUUAGUUAUGUGAUUGAAUAUUUUGUAUAUACCAAAAUGGGAGGCUGCUUAUGUAGUUCUACACCGUAGCUUGCAGAUGUAAGAACACAUAUUUGUGGGAAAAGCAGCUUCAAUCUUUAGAGAAAGAAUCAAAUACAUCCUGCAGUUGCAGUUCAGGCUUCUGUGCAUUACGUUCAAUGUAAACCCUUCUCAUAAUUCAUUUGGAUUUGGCAAACACGUAUCUGUAAAGUAUAUCUGGAUUUAUUGAGGAUAUUUCUGAUCUUUGAUUUUUUUUCCCUGCAGACAGUGGGAGCUCAUUCACCAGUUUCUGAAAUGCUGCUUUGCUGAGAGCUGAGAGGUGCCACUUGUCAGAAGGCACAAAGGAACUCUGCCCAUGCUCACAGCAUUCAGGCAGGGAGCAGUACUCAUGCUGUUAUUAUGGGGAAAUUCAUGGGUAGGUAAAUGGUAAUUUUCCAAACCAGAAUUUGGCACGGCAGAACUAAUUUAUUCUUCCUCUUGAACAAAGACACUACAGAGUUUUGAUCAGGCAUAGUGAUUUGAUGUCUGUGAGACCCAGCAGGAUACAAAUUGGGAAAAAGUAAACACAGCAGUGGCUUUGCCUGCAGUUCCCACUUUUUGCUCCAAGAUGCUUAGCAAUAUCUGUGUGUUAUCUAGGUGCUGAAAUGAAAAUUGUCUUUCUCUUCAGCUUUCAGGUUGCCCUGUCUCUUGUCUUAACCAGCCUGUGCACAGCAUGAAAAGGUUUACUGUGCAUGGGAAGCAGCUUAGUGCUUCAGACGCAGAGAGACUGUGAACUGGACAACAAAGGCUCCUUGUGAAUCGCCAAGAAAUACUUUCCUUAUAGUAACUAAACAGAGAAAUUAAUGUCAGUGCAAAUGCAGCACUGCUGUGUUCAGCUGGCAGAGCUCUGCUCAGUCUCACAGUGAAGAUGUUUUUAUACAGCUUCCUUCCCAGUGCCCUGCCUUCUGGCCCGGGUCGUGCAGUGUGUGGGUGCCUGGGAGACACCCCCACUUGCACACUGAUGCCCUCAGACCUGGUCUGCGUCCAGAACAGUCUCAGGGGGUUUGGCAUUUAUUUCUUCUGUCUUGUUAAGCUACAUCAGGCUUCAGUUGCAGACUCCACAUGGCAUUCCUCUUUGGUACAUACUUUCUCUGUCUCCAGGGCAUCACUUGUGGAAGGAGACAUUGCCUGGCAGGAGCUCAGGAAACACAAAUAUUUGGGACUCUGAUGGUGAACCAUGUUUCUUUUGAUGUUUGUUUGCUCUUUAGAAACGUCCAUGUGAUGCAGGGGCUGACAGGAUGCAGAAGCAUAUGAUCUGGUCAGCCCUGGAUUACGGUAGCUUUUGUAAAGCAUUUUAGCCUUGAGCAGUAUUCAUCCUUUUGCCUUUUCUGGUUGUACAAGGAGAAGGGACGUUUGCUGCAGGCCAGAUUCAGAAGGUCAGUAACUUAAACAAGUUCAUUAUUUAUUUUCCUGUGGCAUCUGUAGGGUCUCUUCAGGGCCAAAAAAAUUGUAUUUGAAGUCCGUAAAUAUACAUGUUCCUUUCUCUGAGAGCUUAUGACCUUAUUGAGCACAAAGACAGACCAAGAGGAAGUUGUAACAAAAACAGUUAAACAAAUUCAGUUAAACGAAUUGAAUCUUUGUGCAGAAACAUAUUCUGAUAUUCUAGAAGAAAGAAUUAGCAGGAAACUUUCAACUAUUCUAGGUGGCAUAUUUUUUUAUCGUUAGAGCAUUUUGGGGCCAGUGAGCUCAGAAAAGUCUGUGAAGCAAAGCACCUCAUAUCCAUUCAUAGAAUCAUGUAGGUUAGAAAAGACCUCUAAGAUCAUCUAGUCCAACUGUCAUUCAAACAAUGCAUGCUCAACCAUCAGGAGGUUACUUUUGUCUGUUUUUCUGACUAGAACAACCUCAGUGUGAGCCCUGCACGCUUCAGCAAGAGACUUUUGCAAGCAAAUCACAGACCAAGAAACUGAAGAGCCCUUUUCUCCGUGCAGUUUUUUGGGGAAAACCUUUGGUUUAAACAAAGGGAACCAAGCCAGUAGUAUAUGGAAGGACUUAGGCUUCCAGCUGAGAUGAAAUCACUUUUGAUUCUGUCUGGAAGAUACGUUCUGGGAACAGAAACGAGUGUCUUAAGGAGCAGUGAGAUGGGAGGAGUGGGUGGUGACAAGUGUAGCAUGGUGUGAGAGGAUGGUGGCUCUUUUUUACACCCUGGUAGAGAUCUGAAGGACAGGAGAAAGGUCUCAUACUGGUACUGACAGACACAAUCUGCUGAAAAUUGAGUCAAUUUGAGAAAAACAAGCUAAAAGUUUUGCCUGUGACAGGUAAUUUUGGUUUGUCAAAUAUUGCAUUUUCACUGUCUUGUCACAUCGGAGCCCAUUGUGAACACUGGGUAUCACCAUAAAGAUGGAACAAGAAAAACAACUCCUUUCACAGCUCACAUGAUUUGUCACAUUUUUCUAUUUUUAAGAUAUCUUUCUUGCCAAUGUUGCUGUACACAAAAGCCCUGCUCAGGUUUUUUGGAGAUAGGCUGGU